UACGUAGGGGGCAAGCGUUGUCCGGAAUCAUUGGGCGUAAAGAGCGUGUAGGCGGCCAGAUAAGUCCGCUGUGAAAUCUCGAGGCUCAACUUCGAGCUGUCGGUGGAAACUGUCUGGCUAGAGUCCGGAAGAGGAGAAUGGAAUUCUUGGUGUAGCGGUGAAAUGCGUAGAUAUCAAGAGGAACACCUGCGGCGAAGGCGGGUUGCUGGCCUGGCACUGACGCUGAGGCGCGAAAGCCAGGGGAGCGAACAGG
rnacentral:rRNA from 1 species